CAUGAGCAGGGUCAUAGUGAGAGACCACUAACUGGAGAUCCGAAGCAUCCGUCGUUGGAAAGGGAGGAGAUGUCUAGCGGAUAGGGGUGAAAGGCUAAU
rnacentral:rRNA from 1 species